rnacentral:tRNA from 1 species
GCACCGUUAGCUCAGUUGGAUAGAGCGCUUGGCUACGAACCAAGAGGUCGGGGGUUCGAAUCCCUCACGGUGCGCCA